rnacentral:rRNA from 1 species
CCUACGGGUGGCUGCAGUGAGGAAUAUUGGUCAAUGGACGCAAGGCUGAACCAGCCAAGUCGCGUGAAGGAAGAAGGAUCUAUGGUUUGUAAACUUCUUUUAUAGGGGAAUAAAGGUAUCCACGUGUGGAUAUUUGCAUGUACCCUAUGAAUAAGCAUCGGCUAACUCCGUGCCAGCAGCCGCGGUAAUACGGAGGAUGCGAGCGUUAUCCGGAUUUAUUGGGUUUAAAGGGUGCGUAGGUGGUUUUUUAAGUCAGCGGUGAAAGUUUGUGGCUCAACCAUAAAAUUGCCUUUGAAACUGGUAGACUUGAGAGUAUUUGAGGUAGGCGGAAUGCAUGGUGUAGCGGUGAAAUGCAUAGAUAUCACGCAGAACACCGAUUGCGAAGGCAGCUUACUAAGCCAUAACUGACACUGAUGCACGAAAGCGUGGGGAUCAAACAGGAUUAGAUACCCGUGUAGUC